AUGUACAUGCCUACAACAUAGCGUUAAUGCACUGGAUCCCAUUAGAACUUCGCUAUUAAGCAUGCUCCGUCUAGAGUAGUAUUGGGAUGGGUGAUUUCCGAAGAAGUCCUAGUAUUUUACAUG
rnacentral:rRNA from 1 species